rnacentral:rRNA from 2 species
AGCCAACUUAGUCGUUGGUUACUCAUAAGUGAAUACAUAGCUUAUGAGAGGUAAACGUGGGGAACUGAAACAUCUCAGUACCUGCAGGAACAGAAAGAAAAUUCGAUUCCCUAAGUAGCGGCGAGCGAACGGGGAACAGCCCAAACCAUGAUGCUUGCAUUGUGGGGUUGUAGGACUGAACUUUGGAGUUACCAAAGUCGUUGAUAACUGAGUCAGUUGGAAUGCUGAACAAAACAGGGUGAAAGUCCCGUAAGUCAAAUCAACGGCUCUUCGUUCAGGAUCCUGAGUACGGCGGAACACGUGAAAUUCCGUCGGAAUCUGGGAGGACCAUCUCCCAAGGCUAAAUACUACCUAGUGACCGAUA